ACAAAACAAAGGAAAAGACAGGAGGAGAUGAUUCUGUUGCUGGUCCAACUGAAGGUGAAGCAAAAACGUGGUUGGUAGAUGACAGUGUUUUGGCUCACUUUGAGUCACUCAAGUUAGAAUCAACUGAGAUUUCUACAGAAGCUGGUGUAGAUGAAGUUCAGAAUAAAGAUGAAAAAGAUGGAAAUGAUGUGCCUCUUGGAAAAAUGAUUAAAGUUUUAAAGUCACAUGGAUCAAGGGAAAAAAAGAAUAAAAAGGUCAAGAAGAAACUGGUUGAAAAGAAAAA
rnacentral:misc_RNA from 1 species